UCAGACGACACCCCCGAGUUCUGUGC
rnacentral:piRNA from 1 species